CCCAUGUGUCUCCACAGUUGUAGUACCAAAUGGAGUGAGAGAAUAGAGGAGUGUGUGAGAAGAGAGGAUAUUGAUCAUGUCAACACUUGGCAAGAGAUCUCACCAGUGACAAGAGACAGAGAUGUUGCCCUUUGGCCCUCACUUUAUGAGUGUGUUCUCCAUAGAAUUCAUUUCCUGGCAUGUAAACAUAGAGCUGAGGAUGUAAAUUUAUGAAUAGCAACCGGAUAACCCGACCCGUAAAUAGGCAAUUGUGAUUGGAAAGGUUUGUCGUAUAACAGAUACGGAUUUGCAGCUUUAUAAUGUUUAGGUUGUGAUUAUGAUUACAAAUUUAUGGACUUACUUACUACUUAUACAAUUACACUGUUAAAUCAAACGAUUACAAAUCAACGGUUUGGAUAUAAAGAUCUCACCAUUGUAAUGUUAAAAAGGUUGGGGAUAAAUGGGUGGAUCCCAAGUGACUCCACAUGACUCCAGAACAUGAAAAUGGUGAGGCAAAGUGGAUGGAUCCAGAGCAUGAUAAGGGCAGGACUAAAUGGGUGGCUCCGGAGAACAGAGGGGACAGGGUCAGGUGGGUGGCUCCAGAGAACAGAAGGGACAGGGUCAGGUGGGUGGCCUAAGAGAGCAGAGGUGGUGGGUAUGGAAAGGAUGCAGCCAAACAGGUGACCCAGAGAAUGGAAAGGGUGGGGCCAGGUAGGUAGCUCCAAAGCAUGCAAAGAGUGUGGCCAGGUGCGUAAAUCUGGAUCAUUGAAAAGGUGGCCAAAGUGGGUGGCUCUAGGGAACAGAGGAUCUAGGGUCAAGUGAGUGGUUCCAGAGAGCAGAGAGGGUGGCUCCAGAGCAUGAAAAGGGCAGGGCCAAGUGGGUAACUCCAGAUCAUGGAACAGGCGGGGUCAGGUGAGUGGCUCCAGAAAGCUGAGGGGGAAGGGCUGAAACAAACUACGAGUUAUGGCAUAAUGCAUCAGGUGAGAUGUAAAGUACAAAUUUAUUGUAAACAAUAAUUCUUAAAUAGAAUUUGGUACAAGUCAGGUUGAAAAAAUUACGAGUCAUAAAGUUGCCAUUUUAUCGUUGCAUUUACGUAUCGUUAAUUUUGACAGGAAAUAAAUUCCAUAGAUAGAUCUCAUCCCUGUGCUGGUCUGUGCUGCGAUGAAGUGAGGGUGCUUGAUUGAUGCACUGUCCUGCUGCUCAAAUCAAACAGAUAAGCCAUCAGGGAUAUGCAUGCUCAAAAUAAUUUGAUGCUACAGUGUUUACCACCGCAGAGCUGUGCGAGUAAACCGGGUGUCGCAUUGAUUUCUAGCCCGCCGGUGAUGUCACUGAAUUUACACCCGACGGCUGCCUAACACUCUGCACGCUGUAAAUUCCAGCCGUCCUUUCUGACAUAGUGAUGAUAGGGAAGAUUCAUCUCCCUGAGGUAAGAGCCAAACAAAGUCCACAGGCACACUCGACAUGUUACGAACGAUCACCCGCCUCUCGAUAAGUGAGAUGAAGCGCAGACAGAGAGAGAGCGAGAGAUGGAGAGCCGUACAUCCAUCAGUCUCCUCAUCAAAACAUCAUCUUCACAUAAAUAAAGGAGGUUGUGCAGCAGGUGUAUGCUGAGUGGCUUCAAAUUUGGCCGGUCUUUGGCACAGACAGUGCCUUACAACUACACGACAGGGUUUUGUGUUUGUUUUCAAGGUAACACUCAGGACUCAGAAGACAAGAGAUCUCACUUGUCAUGUGCUCUUUUCAAAGCAGCCAAAAUAAAAAAGCACCUCCUGAUGCUUGAUAUAUUGACGAGCUCCUCUUGUCUGAAAGCUGACCUUGCACCUGAAGCGAAAUGUUCACAGACACCCAUCCAGGAAAUAAAAGAUAGGAUUAUUAGUCAUCAAUCGAGCAGCGAAAUCUACUAGAUAAUAAUUUUCACAUACAUAUAAACAAGCGUCCUUUAGCAGUUAAUUUACUUUGUUGUUUUUUUUUUCCCCAAGGAGUUGACAUCGAGAGAUCAAUCAAAUAUACAAACAUCUAAUUUCAGCCUGAUUUAGCAGCUCUGAGAGUGCUAAUACAUGAUUCAUAGCACCGAGGCCUUUUUAUAAAGUCAUUAUCUCUCGAGUCACGCAGCUACUGUUAGCACUCGCAAUGCAAUCGAAAGUAAUCCUGCCUAAUUGCUGACAACUCGGCGACCAAAGGCCCGGGCAACGUGAUCGGGACAAGCUGAGAGGAAUACACUAGAGACUUCUUUAUGCUGGGAUAAUAAUAGGAUGUUCGAGCACCCAGAGUAAAGGGGGAAUUAUUACUGAGUCAUGACUCAGGUCUCGGUCUGUCAGGUGUGAAGCUUUGGAUUUGCUCCUCAGCAGGAUACCCGUGUAAAGGUCUGCCAGGGCCGAGUGAUGGGGGUCAGGAGUAGUAAUCUAACCCAUGACUCCCCGGGGAUCUUGCCUGAUGGCUCCGUUCAGGUGAAUAAGGAGAGCAAGAGGUGGUCGCGGCACUGUCAUUAAGACAGCCUUAUUCACGGAUGAUGGAGACAGAGCACGCAGAGACCAGAGUCGCACCACAGAAGUGCCUAUCCUUCUAUCCAUUGCUAGAGUUGUCAUGGCUACAAGAGGAAAGAAACAGCCUUUGAAUGAACUCCGAUGUCUUGGCCUCGGCCUAAGAUCACAGCGCUGUGUCCUUUCUUUGGUACGCUCCAAGAAAACAGAUCUGUCGAAGCACUCCGGGAAUUGACCUUUUCAAAUCGGGGCAAUAAAGCAAGUCUCGCAGCUUCAUUAGAUUUGAGGAAAUGAGAUAAUAAACAAGCACACUAGGAUGUGCACCCGUACAGUCCGGAUAUACAUACUCACUGUUUUCCGCGAGUCGUACACAGGGCUAGUCACAACCUGACAUGAGCCAUUUAGCCUUUUACAAGCACUACGAUUUAUUCUGGACAAUUACCAGAGCAGUGUCCCUGCUCUUCCAGGAACAACCCAACCCAUUGAUCCUGAGCUACUGAAAACAAAUUAGCUGGCAGAGGCGAGGCAGGCGAGCACUGUGCCGAAGCUCACGCGUGCCCCUUGCUGCAGAAUGGAAAUCCAUACGUCCGGAUGUAGGAGGUCGUCUUUGAUCGGCCUUGCUCCUGAAGAUUAAUACUCGUUUAUACAGCCUUUAAUUGGCUGCAAGAACCUGAAUCACUUGACAAAUCACACUUUGCCUAGUAGGAGGAGGUGGACAGCCAUGCAUACACACAAGGUGAGGAGGAGGGAGGGAGAUGGAGAAGAAGAAAAAAAUGGAAACCUGUAUUACUCGGCACCCGAGAUCUUAGCAUACAUUUGCAUACAUUUUCCAUGGUGGUUUUAGAUGUAAUAAUC
ensembl:lncRNA